rnacentral:rRNA from 1 species
CAAUAGCGUAUAUUAAAGUUGUUGCAGUUAAAAAGCUCGUAGUUGGAUUUGUGGCGUACGGUGUGUUCCGGGCACUUGUUGUCUGAGUAACCUGCUGUUGCCAUCCUUGGGUGGAACCUGUGUGGCAUUAGGUUGUCGUGCAGGGGAUGCCCAUCAUUUACUGUGAAAAAAUUAGAGUGUUCAAAGCAGGCUUAUGCCGUUGAAUAUAUUAGCAUGGAAUAAUGAGAUAGGACUUUUUUGCUAUUUUGUUGGUUUGCGCAAGAAGGUAAUGAUUAAUAGGGACAGUUGGGGGUAUUCGUAUUCCACUGUCAGAGGUGAAAUUCUUGGAUUUUUGGAAGACGAACUACUGCGAAAGCAUUUACCAAGGAUGUUUUCAUUAA